rnacentral:piRNA from 1 species
UGGUGCAUAUUAUUAGUCUGCAUCCGAGA